rnacentral:pre_miRNA from 1 species
UUUAAGUACAGUCAUAGUUUUCCGCGUCCAACUUUGAUCGUCUGUCUUAUUUAAAUAUUUUUUAAAAAAAAUAAAAACAUAAGUCAUAAGUAAAUUACUAUUCAUAUUUUAUCAUCUCAUAACAAGAAAAAUACUAAUUUAAAAAAAUUAUAAAUAAGACGGACGAUCAAAGUUGAGCACGAAAACU